rnacentral:antisense_RNA from 1 species
CAUGGAGACCUCCUCACAGGGGGUGGUGGGCCCAUGGACCCCGAUCAGCAGCAUGUUGGAGCCUAGGAGGCAAAAGAAGUGGUUACUCCAUCCGGAUGUGUCAGGACAGGCACAGGAAAAGGAGGGAGUAUGAGAGCCAAAGGAAAGGAAGCAGAGGCACAGUGAAGUCAGAUAAUUCAUCUGGAGUCACACAGCUGGGGACCAGCAGAACUGGGAUUUAAACAUAAAGUUUGUCCAACUUGGAGCUAAAGCACUUACCUGAGAAAAGAUGGAAGAAAAAAAAUCCACAAGCAGAAGUCUCUCACCACUGCCUGUAGCUAUAACCUGUAUCUGACACCACAAAACAUCUCUGGGCACGGCGGUCUUCCCCCACCCCCUCAAAUAUGUCCAGCUCAGUUCCUGUGAGUUUAAUGCAUGUUAAACGCAGCACCACUUGUUCUUCAAGGCAGGUAAGGAAGGAGGCCCUUCUGGUAUACCCCGAGCACACUGGGGUUCCUGGAUCAUUUCAUUAGGAAAAUUGCUCAGCGGCUCCAAAGAAUCUGGAGCUCCCUGGUCUAUCUCCCAGCCUCUCAAGCCUCCUCCAGCAGGGUCCCGCCUCAAAUUCUCCACAUUCCCCUACUCCAAAAUCUACAGAAUGGACCAUUUAAAGCUUGAGCCAAGAGAUACAGCAAACUCACCCAUAAAAACAGGGAGGUUUGCUUUGUUCAGAAGGUCAGGAUACUGGGUGCUCUGGCGGCCAAACACAGAUACCUUUUCAUUCCAUGCACACUGCAGCUGUGUAAUCUCAGAAUGGAUAUUUAGGGAAAGGCUUGGGAGCAGGAGGGCUGGAAAAACAAGGCGCCUUCCCUGUGACAAGAGCAAUAUUUACACAGGGUUUGAAGCAGGCGGUUCUGUACCUCUCCCCUCCAGGCUGGGAGCUUCCCUGCAAGAGCAGCUCCUUCUCAGCAGCGUCCAGCGCUUGCAGAGCACAGCCUGAAACCCAAGCUCCCAAAAAGGUGUGCGAACAGCCAAAAGGAAAUGGGAGAGGGCCCAGGCACAGCGGCGUGAGCCAGCAGGAGGGUGAGAUGCUUCCUGGCCAGUGUGGGAGACCCCAGCAGCUGCUGUGGGGCCUGGCCUGAAGUGGGCCACGCGCUCCAAGUGCCUAGAGGACCCCACCUGGGCCCUCAAAGGUGAGUACCUUGUCAGGGCUCAAGUGCCAGCACUGCUGCCUGGAAAGUACUCCUGAGUAGCUGGGAGGACAGGGAUCGUGGUUUAGGACACCCCCAAAGUGGGCUGGGGAUGCAGUCACUGCCUCUGGGUGAGCCAGCCACUUAGAGAGGGGGCCAAGCUCGGGGGUUCAGCGCAUAGGCUCUGAGGUCAUGGAUGUAGACUGAUUCCUGGUUCUGCCUCCUCCCAGCUGACUGUUUUUUGGGGGAGUGUUUGUUUGGGGAGUGACUCAACCUCUGCAUCUCACUUUCCACAUCUGUAAAAUGGACAGCACUUACAGUAAAAUGAUACCAUGCCUUUCACAAAAGGCAAGCCGCAGGCCCAGAGUUCAGGGUGGAGCCAGACUGGAUUUGCCUGGGGAGUCUGGCAGCACUCACACCACCCCUGUGGGUGGCUUUGCUGAGGCCACUGCUUUGGCCAGAGUCCCGGGCAGCCUGCCAGCCCACCAGUCACUCCUGCACCUGGAGAGGGCCCCUUGGCCACACAGGACACUUGCUCCUGGGGCUGGAUGCCAGGCAACCAUGCAGCCACUCACCCCUCACCCCUGGGAGGCAAGUCUGCUCCAUCCCACUCUCCUUAUGCGGGGUGGGGGUACACACACAAGAGACUCAAGAAACCAGGACAUACUGCUUUCCCAAGAGGGUCCAAAGUAACACCAAAUGCAAACAUGCCCCAGUGAGUCCACACUGCGUACUUCCCCUGCAAAGACUAAGGACCAACUCUCCACCCUGGCAGCCUCCAUAACAGUGACGCACUCACUGCGCACCACCCGAUGCCACCUGUUCAAAUAACUGCGAUUCACAGCAGGAAUUCUCACUACAGCCAGGAAAAGGAGGGGAAGAUCUGUUCUGACAUGGAAAGAUCUUUAAGAUGGCAAAGCAAAAACACAAGCUAUACCACACAGUAGAUAUAGUAAGAUUCCUUCUGUAAGACAAAAGCAAAAUUCUGUGUCUGCUUGUCUAAUGAACCAAUUAGCUAACCAACCCAGCAACCAAGAAUGAAGACAGACAAUGAGAUGACAGAGAGGGUGAAGGUCCUCCCUUCCCAGAGCCAUUUGCUUCUGGACCCAGGUGGGGGAGGAGGAGAGAAGAUGGAGUGAGUCCCACUUUAUUUACUUCUUCACUGCCUGUAUUUUUCAUAAUCAAACAUGUCUCAUCUGUGGCAAAGAAUAAAAAUAAAUUGUAAUGGGUCCAAAAAGCUUCAGAAUUCUUUGAUCAUUUCAGUCUUUUCUCCUCCUCCAUUAAGAUCUGAGAGUAAAAAGAGGAGGAGAUAGGCUGGGACAGGUCUUACUGCUGCUUCAGUGCAUUUCUGGGAGCCUGGUGCCAUGAAAGAACAGAUGGGUAGGAGCCCACUUGGAUGCAUCACGAAUUCUGCGCAGGCAAAGAAACCCUCAAAAUUAAUGACACUGUGCUGUGUUCCCUGACUAUCAGCAUCCUGUUCUGAAAGUCAAGAAACUUGGCAGAGGAAGGAAUCUGAAUCACAACUAACAGUAAUGAGGUGUGGUAAGACGGCCAUCAAGCUCUCACUCUGGAUUUAUCGCGGGUCAAACCGCAACUCCCAAAACAGCUUUGGAGAGCAAGCGCCUCCGAAGUGUGCAUGACCCCAGUUUCCAUGGGGAGCGUGUGUAAAAAGCUUCCAUGGGGCUUGAGGAUUUCCAUCUGGCUUGGUCCCUGGAGCUGGUUCAGUUAAGGCUUCAAGAAGCAGAGAAGUGGGUUACCUGUGAUGCCCCCUUCGAGUCCCGUGCCAUAGGCGGACACCAGGGCAGGGUUGCCCGCUUGUCCAGGCUCCCCAACGCGCACUUUGAAGGGGCUUCCAACCACGUGGCUCCCAUUGAACUUGACAUCGAUGGUGUGGACACCAUUCUCAUGAGGAAUGAAGCGAACAGCAUACUUAUCUAGGAGAAUGAGCAAAGGCACAGGGUGAAAUCAAGCAAACGGACGCCCCUGAGUUCGGUGAGGACAAAGGAUGGAGGCGAGAGAUGGCCCAUUUAAAAUCAACAGUUCUACAGGGAGCCUGGCACUCAGCAUCCUGGAUUUCAGAACCAGACGGACCCCCCUGGGUAUCCCUCAUCAGUCCCAAGGGAAACACAUCCACAUCGCAAAUCCUAAAAACACAGGACAAGACUCUGACCCCUGCCUCAGAAGAACACUUCCUUUCUUUAGAAAACCUCACUUCUUCAACGUGAAAUUCCGUGAAUGCUGUUACUAAUCCUGUCACGAGAUGAAUCUCAUUUCACCAAAAUUAAAUUAUGUUUUUCCACUAAAAUGAUGUAUCAAGUUGAAGACACAUCACUCUGAAAUUGGAAGACCUCACCACUUAAGGCUCCACAGUGGCUAACUCAGCUAACUCUAGGUUACUACCCUUUACUUUGUUCACCCACUGGGGGUUCAGGUUUUUUUUUAAACGUUGGGAGAUGGCCAUUCUAACUACUGUUGCAUGUCUCUGUUUUGGGAAGGUAUGACAAGAAAUAAAAAAGAAUAUAUACGAAGGGAAAACA